CAGCGAAAUGCGAUACGUAGUGUGAAUUGCAGAAUUCCGUGAACCAUCGAAUCUUUGAACGCAAAUUGCGCUCGAGGCUUCGGCCAAGAGCAUGUCUGCCUCAGCGUCGGCU
rnacentral:rRNA from 1 species